rnacentral:lncRNA from 1 species
CCCGGCCCCACCUCGCCCCGCCCCCGUUCCCCGCCCCGCAGCGGGGGCGGGCGUUAGGGCCUCAAAACUCCGGCCCGGGCGCCCCCCCCCCCCCCCGCCCCCCGAUUCAGGUCCGGCCAGCGAUUGGCGCUCGCUGGCCGCUAUUCCCGCCCCCGCCCCCUCCGUCACCGCCAAUAUGGCGCUGGGCGCUGCGGCGGAUGCCGCGGCGGCUGAAGCCGGAGAAGGAGGCGGAGGCAGCCACAGCCGCGAGGGGUGGGGGAGACCCGUCUGACUGAAACGGCAGACCAGGGAGGGCGGGAGUGCUGCGCAGGGCGGAGCGCCGGGCUAGGGAUGAGCUAAGCGAGCUCGGGGCGCCGCGGCAUUCAGCCCCUCGUGUUCCGCUGCCGCAAGUGAGGAGACCCGCUGCCUCUGCCCAAGCUCGACCUGCUUCUCGCGCCGGAGCAGCAGUGCGAAUUAGCUUAUAUAGCAAAUGCUUUAACUACUUUGACAUAAUGGAACAUGAGAAUAAAAAAGAAUUCGAAUUGAUUGGGCAGAAAUUGAAAAGGGAGAAAAACAGAAAUCUGUCUCCAUUAGUUGAUGAAUAGGUAAGAGCUUUUUUAUAAUGAAUUCUCAGUUUAGUUCUUCUGAACCUUUUUAGAGAACACAUUCUUACAGAUAUAAAUAAAUUUAAAGUGAAAUAAUAAGUUAAGCAGAUAUCUGAAAUUAAAGAAGAUGCAUGUGAACAUUUUAUCUUAUGAGCCA